rnacentral:rRNA from 1 species
UAUUAAAGUUGUUGCGGUUAAAAAGCUCGUAGUUGAAUCUGUGCUCGCGCUGUCGGUUCACCGCCCGCGGUGUUAAAUUGGCACGCCCGCGAGAUGUCCUGCCGGUGGAAGCGCGCGCGCGUCAAGGCCCCCGUCGCGCCCGCGCGGCCGGUCGCGUUCGCCUACCGCGGCGCUCUUCGCUGAGUGUCGAGGUGGGCCGGCACGUUUACUUUGAACAAAUUAGAGUGCUCAAAGCAGGCUAAAACUUCGCCUGAAUACUGUGUGCAUGGAAUAAUGGAACAGGACCUCGGUUCUAUUUUGUUGGUUUUCGGAACCCUGAGGUAAUGAUCAAUAGGGACAGAUGGGGGUAUUCGUAUUGCGACGUUAGAGGUGAAAUUCUUGGACGUCGCAAGACGGACAGAAGCGAAAGCAUUUGCCAAAAAUGUUUUCAUUAAUCAAGAACGAAAGUCAGAGGUUCGAAGGCGAUCAGAUACCGCCCUAGUUCUGACCAUAAACGAUGCCAGCUAGCGAUCCGCCGACGUUCCUCCGAUGACUCGGCGGGCAGCUUCCGGGAAACCAAAGCUUUUGGGUUCCGGGGGAAGUAUGGUUGCAAAGCUGAAACUUAAAGGAAUUGACGGAAGGGCACCACCAGGAGUGGAGCCUGCGGCUUAAUUUGACUCAACACGGGAAAUCUCACCAGGCCCGGACACCGGAAGGAUUGACAGAUUGAGAGCUCUUUCUUGAUUCGGUGGGUGGUGGUGCAUGGCCGUUCUUAGUUGGUGGAGUGAUUUGUCUGGUUAAUUCCGAUAACGAACGAGACUCUAGCCUGCUAACUAGGCGUUACUUUCCGGCAUCUCGAAGGCUCGCGUCUCCCGU